rnacentral:misc_RNA from 1 species
GUGAAUCAUCGAAUCUUUGAACGCAAAUUGCACUUUCUGGUAUUCCGGAGAGUAUGCCUGUUUGAGGGUCAGUGUAAUAAAAAUAAAUCGUGGUUGUUAUCACUUUUCGUGGUGACGCUUCGGAAUUGAGUCGUCUUACCUUCGGUUAAGUGACUUAAAAUUUUUUCAUACGAUUUCGAAACGUAUUUAAUGUAUUAUGUACGUUCACGAAUAUCGAAUGUUUUAUUAGGUGCGGUCAUUUUUAUGAAUCGUGUCUAUAAUUUUUUUUUUUUUGACCUCAAAUCAGGUAAGAAUACCCGC